AGUAGUGUUCUCUUGUGAUUAUGAUGAUUAUGACUUAUGUAUGUUGAAGCUAUGUUAUAUAUGAUCAUUAUGAAUAUGGUAAGUUACAAUGAAGUAUGAUCUUAUGUAUGUAUGCAUGAAGUAGGUUGCUUAAUGUGAUACUUGGCUUUGAAUAGGGUUAUGGGAUUCUAUUCCUUGCAUUGCACUAGAAUUACUUGGGUUGUCUA
rnacentral:lncRNA from 1 species